UACGUAGGGGGCGAGCGUUGUCCGGAAUCAUUGGGCGUAAAGCGCGUGUAGGCGGCCCGGUAAGUCCGCUGUGAAAGUCCAGGGCUCAACCCUGGGAUGCCGGUGGAUACUGUCGGGCUCGAGUCCGGAAGAGGCGAGUGGAAUUCCUGGUGUAGCGGUGAAAUGCGCAGAUAUCAGGAGGAACACCAAUUGCGAAGGCAGCCCGCUGGGACGUUACUGACGCUGAGACGCGAAAGCGUGGGGAGCAAACAGG
rnacentral:rRNA from 1 species